rfam:Ornithorhynchus anatinus chromosome 2, whole genome shotgun sequence.
AGUAGCGUGGCUCAGUGGAAAGAGCAUGGUCUUAGGAGUCACAGGUCAUGGGUUCUAAUCCCGGCUCUGCCA